rnacentral:rRNA from 1 species
AGAGUUUGAUCCUGGCUCAGAACGAACGCUGGCGGCGUGGAUAAGACAUGCAAGUCGAGCGAGAUUUUUUCCUGUAGCAAUACAGGGAAAAGUCUAGCGGCGAACGGGUGCUUAACACGUGGGCAACCUGCCGAGAAGUGGGGGAUAGCUCGCCGAAAGGCGAAUUAAUACCGCAUGUGAUUAGAGAGGACAUCCUCUCGAAAUUAAAGUCGGGGCAACCUGACGCUUUUUGUGGGGCCCGCGGCCUAUCAGCUAGUUGGUGAGGUAACGGCUCACCAAGGCUUUGACGGGUAGCUGGUCUGAGAGGACGACCAGCCACACUGGGACUGAGACACGGCCCAGACACCUACGGGUGGCAGCAGUCGAGAAUUUUUCUCAAUGGGGGAAACCCUGAAGGAGCGACGCCGCGUGGAGGAUGAAGGUCUUCGGAUUGUAAACUCCUGUCAUUGGGGAACAAGGUGCAUACGUUAACUGCGUGUGCAUUGAUAGUACCCGAAGAGGAAGAGACGGCUAACUCUGUGCCAGCAGCCGCGGUAAUACAGAGGUCUCAAGCGUUGUUCGGAUUCAUUGGGCGUAAAGGGUGCGUAGGCGGCGCGGUAAGUCGGGUGUGAAAUCUUGGAGCUUAACUCCGAAACUGCAUUCGAUACUGCCGUGCUUGAGGACUGGAGAGGAGACUGGAAUUUACGGUGUAGCGGUGAAAUGCGUAGAUAUCGUAAGGAAGACCAGUGGCGAAGGCGGGUCUCUGGACAGUUCCUGACGCUGAGGCACGAAGGUCAGGGGAGCAAACGGGAUUAGAUACCCUAGUAGUCC